GGCAUGUGUGAGGAAGACGGAUCUGCCAGGAUGCAAGUCUACAGAGCAAACUGAGCAAAGGAAAAGGCAGAUAUAGCUAAACUACCGCUGUACCAUUGACGGCAUCCUCACCAACUACAUCAUGAGAAGCACUGAAGAGGCAGAAGAGAUUUCAGCAGAGAUCUUUACAAAUAAACUGUGGCAUGAAGGUUAGAGAGAAGAAGACAUCUCGUCUGUACAUCUGUGUUCACUUCCUUUUGCAGUCUUCUUCUAUAGCUGCGGCAUUCUGCUUUUUAAAUCCUCUCCCUGGCAUGACCCUUACUUUGGCACGGUUGGACAGCAGA